rnacentral:lncRNA from 1 species
UUUUGAAUUCUUGUAUGAAUUUUCUUGUGUUAAAAGGAGAAUGUACAUUAUUAUUAUUUUUUUUCGUUUUUUUAGUUGUGGAAAUAGUUCUCAAGGGUUUAGUUGUUUCACUUACUUGUUGAAUUAAUGUUUCAAAAAUAUUGACACUGACCAUUGCAAUUUGAUAAUAUGGCCUUCAUCAAAGAUAAGCAUUUGAUUAUUUCCAAUUUUAUCAAUUUAUAAAAAAUAAAUUAUAAAAGAUAAGUUACACAUUUGUAUACAUUCAAAUAAUAAAUAUUAAAUUAAUUAAAAUUAAACUAUUUCUAUUAUAAUAUGUUGUUCCG